UUGACAGAUAAGGAAACUGAGGCAAAUAAAGAUGAAAUGUCUUGCCUUUGGUCACACAGCUAUGAUGAGUCUAGUCUCUGGUUUGAACUCAAGUCUUCCUGACUCCAAGUGCCCGUCCUAUCUAUAGAAUCACUUAGAGGGAGAAAACACUCUCAUUUGAGCGGAGAAAUGAGUCAAAGUUGAAGCUUUGUGGAGAAGAUAGAACUUGGGUUUGAUAUCUCUGUCUCUGAAAGAAAGAUUGCACCAUACCCUCCAGUGCCUACACACCAGAAACACUGUUCUCUAGACCUUCAUUUAUUCUUGCAUGCAAGAAAAGAAGAGUUAACCAUCCCAACUCCAGCAUUCUGGGAAGCUGCAAGCAAAGAAAUGUAUUUCUACUCAACAAGAUGCUUCCUAAUAAUGAUCACUAUGCCUGAUUCCUUUAGCCCAAGUAAUAGUAAUAAUAAUAAUCUCUGACAUUUCUGUGCUUUUCUAUUUUUCAAGGAUCUAUCAAAGAUAGAUAGAUAGAUAGAUAGAUAGAUAGAUAGAUAGAUAGAUAGAUAGAUAGAUAGAUAUCAUUCUCAGGGGUCUACACCUCUGAAAUAAACAUGUCUUUAAGGGAAGAAGGAAAAACUCU
rnacentral:lncRNA from 1 species